CUUCGUCUAGUCCUUUCCGUGUCCACCCGCUAAUUCGCGAAUUCCUAAAUCCUUACGAGCCAGCCAGCCGCCCCAUCUUUAAAUUCCUACUCAUCUUCCAUUUCAUGACCCUAAAACACCCGCCCCCGUUCAUCUCCGGCGUCAACCUCUGCUCGAUCGGCUCUCUCUUUUGAUUCCGACUCCGACUAUAGUUUCACGGCUAUAAAUUUUGGAGAUUUGGUGACGAGGUGUUGGCCCAUGAUGGACUCUCGAAAGAUAUGUACUGUUCGAAGUUCGUACUCCUACUAGACAUCAAGCCACCUUCAGUUUGAUGAGUGAAAGGAUUUUAUCAACGGAUGAAUUUCUCUGCUCUUCCCACCAUUUCUCCUUUUCUUUGCUUGUUGUUUCAAGUUUUCAACACGGUUGUUGUCAUGCUCUCCGUAGUUUCACCCUUGCUGUCUCUUCAUUGGGGUCAACUAAGGUUGUGCAAAAAAUUAGGUGAACCAUGAAACCGGUCCGGACCGAACCGAUCUGUAUCUUUUGGAUUUUAUCCGUGGAUUAAUGGUCCGGACACUGAUUGAAAAUUAAAAAAUCUUGACUCACGGUUCGGUCUACGAGAUAUUUAUUCUAUAUAAAUAAUAAAUAAAAAAAUGUAUAUGUAUAUCUUAAAUUUUUUUUUAUUACCAAUUUUAGUAUUUUACCUUAAUAUUGGGAUACGGUUGCCAGUUGUCGUGCCUUGCAUUUUGAUGGAAGAUCUUCUUUUGUGCUUAUUUGUUUUCCCAUUUUGAUGUUUACUGUGGUUUUUUUGUUUGGUUUUAUAUAAUCCAAUACUUUAUCUGGUGGUGUUAGUUUUGAUGUAAUCAAAUAUUUUAUUGUGCUUUAAUGGAAGAUAUUUUUGUUCGGUGUUGUCCAACUGAUUGUAAAGGAUCAAACUUUUCAAUCAAAACAAUGGAGGUUGUCAUAGUUUCUUGUGGUUUAAAGUCGAGUUUCGUGAAGGUACAGUGAUUUUGAAAUUAGUGGAGAGGAAUGACAACAGACAAGGAGAAGGAGAAUGGUGGAAAGAGUGGAGAAGUGCUUCCGAAUGGUGGUGGUUACUUAUGAUUGCCAACAAUAGCUUAUUGCAUUCAUGUCAUUACGGUCUCGGAGGACACUCUUUCCUUUUGGCUAGAUGUAAAUGGAGGUUAAGAAGCUUGAGGUAUUCAUGUUGUGCGGAUUAACCCUUAUUUGCUUUCAUUUAUGUGUAUUUAUUUAUGCAGAUAUGGCUUCACAUUUCUCCCUGCUUCGUUUAUUGUUAUCUUGUUUAACACUCAGACUUUUAUGAUCUACUUUUUAGUCUUUUGGGUAGUGAACUCUUGGGGUUUACUCAUCAUUUGUUUAGCAUUUUCCUAAAACAAUUAUUCGAUCUUGUUAUGCAUGUGUUUUUGAAAGCUGCAACUUUCUACUUUCCCUUGUUAGCCUAAAAUAAUUUUAGAUCUGGUUAUGCGUAUGCUCUUUUUGCGAAUUCAAAGGAAUGUAUUAUAUGUUGUAAUUUAUCUGUUUAAAGUCUUUGUAUUUAGAUAUUUAUGGUAUGAGGAUCAUGUUUGCUUACCGCCCUUCUAGUCAUUAGGUAGCAAGCAUUGUAGAAGAACUCUUCUAUCCGCUUCUUUUCUGGGUCCUGGCCGUGUGGUCAGUAGUUAGCUUUGCAGAAGUAUUUUAUCGCCACGUUUUUUUUGGAUCCUAACUUGGACUUGGGAUCGGUGUCGGUAAACAAAAAUUUGAAGAUUUUUAGCUCCCCCAAUUACUUUGACAUGACUUCAUUUUGUUACUACGUUGUGUUGGGCUCCCAAAGAUUUAUUCUCUUUCAUAGUCAAUUCUAGUAUGUUUUCCAGUUUUUCUUAUUAUUGUUUCUCCCUGUUUGUGCAUUAGAGGUGAUUGGCGAAAACCUCAAUAGAUUCAAACUGAAUGUUCAAGCAACAGUAGUGGUUUUCCUAAUGAGUUUGGCUGCAACAGGCUUACAAACAUUACGGAUUAGACGAAAGCACAUGACUUGGAAAUCAACCUGGAAAAUCCAUUUUAUUUCCUCGUUUGGUCAAUAGAUCCAGGUCUCACUUGCUAGUUGCUAGCACAAAAGGAAAUAAAUACAACAAAGAGAUUUAUAACUGCCAUUGUCUCAUACUCAAUUAUUCAUACCUCUACCAUUUUCUAUUUUGCUGCUUAUCUGAACCACCUCCUUAGAUCGGUUGUUGAACAUGGAGAAAUUUCUCCACCUACGCUUUCGGUGUAGCAAGAUGACAGAUUGGACCCAUGUUCGACCCCCAAAAAUCCUGCUUGAACACUCUUGAAGCUAGGACUUCUUGAGUUCUGGCAGAAACCACUGCCACCAAUCCCAACAUUGCUGUAUGGCUCAGGAACAGGGUAUGAUAACCUUUUCUUCACGGACCCACUUCGUUCCCUCUCCGGUGUUGAGGGCCUCUGCCUCGUUGCGCUUUGUGACCGAAAUCGAGCUUUUGCAGACUCAGUAGCAGCCAUGUAGUUGGGCAUUGCAUAAUUCCAAGCACCUAAUUCACUUCCAUGGCGAGAUACUAAGCAUGGCGUAUUAGCCAUUGAGUAGCUUCUUUCUUCCUUGGGGCAUCGGGGGCUUGCUGAACGCAUGUGAAGUGGUCUCACUUUGGAGGGAGAGGGAGUCAAGGGAGGUUGAGGGUAGGAUGCUCUAUGGCGAGGAGAAGCAACAGAGCGUACACUUGAUUGCCUCUGAUUCUGAUGUUGAGAUUGUGACGUGCUGAUACGAUGAGUGGAAUAACAGUAAGGUCUGGAUGUGUCCAUUUCAAGAGUUUUUGUGGUUUCUCUCAUAUCUGUGGAAGAUCUGUCGGUCUCCCAUUGCUUGGUUGCCAUCCACCGGUCUAGCCAGUUUGUUCUUUCGUCUAUCUCCUUUUCAUCUCCGGUGGAAGCGUUCCUACCUGAAUCCCAUAUCUUCAAUUUGGGUGGGUGUCAACACAUGAAAGAUAUAUGAGAUCGAAACUCCAAACGAAUAAGAAAUGAGUGAGACAGGGCAGAGAGAGAUACCUGCUGAGAAAAUGCAUGUGCCAGGGUUUUUUCAUGGUUCAAAGCGGCCGCCUCCUUUCGUGUCUGCAAAAUAGCAUCAAGUUCUUCGAGCGUGCGUGGACAGUCGUCCCAAUUGUCUGCAUUGUAACUACCAGCUCUGGAAUGCUAUACAAAAUGGGAAUCAAGCAAUGACUUAUUAGACUAAAUGUAUGGAUAUUGAGGAGAUAGUGUUUCAGCCAUCAAGUAGUACUCCAAUUUGUAAAAGAAACAUACGAUUGAUUUCCUCUCACGAACGUCUUGCAUAUAUUUAGAUUCCCACAAAUUAUUGCUUUCUGCAAACAUUGAUUUUCUGGUCACUUCGAGGGAGGGCCUCGCACGGUGGUCACGCACCCGAGCCUGAACUCGAAACAGGGCUUGCAUGCAUUUCAAAGUCAUCUUUGUUUGCCUCCUAACAUUCUGUCCUCUCACUAAAGCUUGGAGCUUCACAAUCCCCUGAAGUGCUCGAAGAGCUCUCCUUGCCUUCAACCAACAAAUGAACUUUUUAGAUGCUGAUAAUGAUGUAUCAAACAUCAAUAAUUCUUCUCCUGCUUCAAAGAUAGAUUUUUUUCCUGUCUUAUGGUGUUACCAUUUAAAUCCAAUAACUUCUGUUUUUGUUUUUGACAUGAAGUUCUACAGAUUGAUUAGUAUGUUACAUUACAACGGAAGUGUUGACAUUGCUUUAUCAGCUUGAACAAGACCUCACUCUUUUGGGUCCAACCUACGGAUAGUGAUGCCGCUGGACUGCAAGGCUAUUGGCAUUUACUAUUUUUGUAGAACUUCAUGUCUUCGGAUUUGUAAUUUUUGGAGCCUAAAAAUGAUUUUGGGCUUCUCAAUAACAUAGGAACAAGCACCCCAACAUAUGCAGCAGAUAGGAAUGGCAUGUAUUUUAGGUUUUUGUUGCUUACCAAGUAGCCUUUGAAACAAGUCUGGAUGACAAUGGCAGCAUUGUGUUCCCUAAGGCAAGUAGAAGAAGGUGUAGUCAAUCGAAUGAUCUCAACAGCCGCCUGUGCCGUUGCAGCCGCGGCUUCAGCUGCCGCUACCGUGGCUGUUGCCACUGCAAUCGCAUGCCUUCGGUCUGCAGCCAAACAUUGUGCAUUCAUGAGUGGAGCACUGUUAUUUGUUGCUUCACGUUGGUGGUCAUGAGUAUUACUGGGAGCUCUCCUGAACAACCAUCUUCGCUUCUCUCUCUUCUGCAUCAAUCCAAAAUCAUAAACACUCCAAAAUGUAAAAAAAAGCGUCAAAACUAAGAGAUUGGAGUUUUGGUAAAGCCUAGUUUAUUAAUUACCUGUUCUUCUUCUUCUUGCUCAUUUUCUUCCCUCCUCCUCCUACUCUUUUUGUCCUCGUUCUUGGAUGGAGACCUGAAAGCCCUCUUAACAACUGUCAACCAAGAGGUGCCUCCUUUCUUGCCCAUGAACUAUUGUAGGAAAAAACGUAGCACUUCUUCUCUAUAAGAAUUUCGAGAAAAACCAAGAGUAGCAGAGAGAAAGAGAGAGAGAGAGAGAGAGAGAGAGAGAGUGAUGUAUUCUUUGGGUUUGGGUAACG